rnacentral:lncRNA from 1 species
AUGAUAGAUAAAAUUGUUGCUGUGUGCCAAACGAAAGAAGACCAGCAAACAUGGGUAGAAAAAAUCCGUUUCUACUCGAAAAAUAUAAAAAAGACCGGAUCGCCAUCAAGCUACCCCAGCAGCUCAUUGCGACUGACAGCCCCUGCUCCGUCUCCAUCUCGAAGUAUCACUCCAGUAAAACAACCACGAGCACAAGUAAACGAGCUACAUGGAGUAUUACUGUCUUCGGCCUUUACUCCUCACAACCCGCUUUCGUCCCGUGAUGAAAAGUCUCCCAGAAGCCCUAAAAAUUGGGUAAGUACUGUUGCAAUACUCAUUUAUAAGCAGGGAUCAUGGUCUUUGUCUGUCUGCUUCACUAGGUGAAAAAUGACAUACUAUUGAAAAUGGAUACAUUAUAAGAUAACAUGAUUAUAUUAAGUAAAACUUAAUACCCCGGAUAGUUUGGACUAAGAAAAUCCAAAUCCAGCAUUAGUUUUUUAAAAAACCCAAUUUUUUUAAAAUGGCAGAUGUAAAAAUGGCGGACACUGGCGAAAAAUCUGAGAUAAUUAUCCGCAGUUUCCUCUGACAGUUGUCAGGAACCAAAAAGCCGAGUCUCGCAUUUUUUUCUAGAACCCUCCUAAAAAUGACCCAAAAGUUUGUCCCAUUCCUCGCAACUUUUGAACGGUUGUACCCACAGAAAUGAAAUUUGAGGGGUGUUGUUAAGUCAACAGGAGCUACUUUUUGCUGUAUCCAAAAUUUUGAGUGAAAAUCUUUGAGGGGCACAGGCAGCACUCAACAAGAAAUGUUCUAACAACAACUCCAUCUUCAGUCUCCAUGAGGACUGAACAGUGAAUCAGAACAGAUCAUUUUAUGCUUUGUACUUUUUUUUUUACUGCACUUGAAUCUUCCAAGUGUCUUGCAUAUAUUGAGCUAAAAAUAAUCCUCAAUGGUGGCGAAAAUAAUUUUGUAUUCUACCACAAAUUUUACUACAAACAAGCCUUUAAGCUUGAAUUUUGCUAGAUCCUGAUCAAUUUGUGUACAUUCUUAAAUGGUUCUAAGAUUCAUAAUACAGGUAGAUUGAAAAUAAACCGUAAUGGAUGUACCACUGUGGAAUACAUCGGUUAUAAAGUAACGUGCUACCGUAUUAUUCUCAAAACAAGCUCUUUGAUUAAUUUAAAUAUGACUCAAGACGUCAUUUCUUAUUUAUUUUAUCCUCAGUGUAUUUUGUUUUCAAUGCUUAAUUUACAGUCGAUUUGUCUUAUGAAGAAGAUGCACAAAUUCUCCGAGUAAUAGAAGAAUAUUGCACUUGCACUAAAACCCGCCACAAUAUCAACUCUGGUAAGUUGUCUUAUCUCUUUAUCUUUUUACACUUCUUGAAAUUCCUCAAAUUUGGUUUAUUCAUUCUCUCACACUAAUAAUCAGUUAAGGCUCUGAAAAGGAGAUGAACCUAGGUCAUAAAUGCAGUAUGAAAAAAACAUGUCUUUAAAAUUAAUUGAACCGAUUAUUUUCCAAAUGGUGUAAGCGCCAAAAUUGCGUUUGUGAGAAAAACAAGAAAACCGUUUCAUUCGCUUUGUUGACAAUCCUCAAAUUCCAAAAAAUGUAUAUUCUUUUAGAAGGCUAUUUUGAAAUCAGACAUAAUUGAUCAUACCAGAAAACAAAGAAAAUCAACCCCUCUACCACCAAAAUAGAGAUUGGUGCUUACAUGAUUUGGAGAAUAAUCAGUUCAGCGAUAGGAAAACAAAACCAAUCUAAAAAAUUUUUUUGACUUGCUAUUGCUAUUGCCUGAUUGCAAAUGAGAUUAAUAUAGUGAAGGGAACACUUACAGGAAAAUUCUACCACAUAUUCUGAGCAUGCUCAAUCAUUAAUAAAAAUGGUUUUUUCUACAUUAAAUAAAUCUAAUUCCAAUGUUUUGCUACAUCUCUAAUUAUGUACUCAUCUUUAACUUGUUUUCUCAAAACAUUUAGCCCUGAUUGCAAUGAAACUGUCCCUUUUUCUCAUGGAUUCCUAAAAAUUUAGUCACGUUCCUCUACUGGGAGCAUAUUACCAACCCAAUCAUAGUG